GUGCCAGCCGCCGCGGUAAUACAGAGGUCCCAAGCGUUGUUCGGAUUUACUGGGCGUAAAGGGUGCGUAGGCGGCCAAAAAAGUCUGAUGUGAAAUCUUGGAGCUUAACUCCGAAACUGCAUUGGAUACUGGUUGGCUUGAGGAGUGGAGGGGAGACUGGAAUUCUCGGUGUAGCAGUGAAAUGCGUAGAUAUCGAGAGGAACACCAGUGGCGAAGGCGAGUCUCUGGACACUUCCUGACGCUGAGGCACGAAAGCCAAGGGAGCAAACGGGAUUAGAUACCCCCGUAGUCC
rnacentral:rRNA from 1 species